UACAGAGGGUGCAAGCGUUGUUCGGAAUUACUGGGCGUAAAGCGCGUGUAGGCGGCUUAUCAAGUCCUGUGUGAAAGCCCUGGGCUCAACCCAGGAAGUGCGCAGGAUACUGAUGAGCUGGAGUGGCGGAGAGGAUGGCGGAAUUCCCGGUGUAGAGGUGAAAUGCGUAGAUAUCUGGAGGAACACCGGUGGCGAAGGCGGCAUCCUGGGACCGGCAUUGACGCUGAGGCGCGAAAGCCAGGGAGCAACGGGAUUAAGAAACCCCGU
rnacentral:rRNA from 1 species